UACAGAGGUCCCGAGCGUUGUUCGGAUUCACUGGGCGUAAAGGGUGCGUAGGUGGUGAGGUAAGUCGGAUGUGAAAGCUCCAAGCUCAACUUGGAAAUGGCAUUGGAAACUACCUUGCUAGAGGGUUUGAGGGGGGACUGGAAUACUUGGUGUAGCAGUGAAAUGCGUAGAUAUCAUGAGGAAUACCAGAGGCGAAGGCGGCUACCUGGACAAUUGCUGACGCUCAGGCACGAAAGCGUGGGGAGCAAAAGGG
rnacentral:rRNA from 1 species